CCCGAAAGAUCGAAUGGGGAGAUUCAUCGUCAACGGAGCUGGCUUCCGUGCGGCGCGCGAUGCUGGCGUCGCUGCGUGCCGUGGUCCCUCGUGGGCUUCGCGUGCGUAUGCUGGCGUUGCACGCCGCCGCCGCGGUAUGUCCGGUCUCGUCGGCGUGCACUUCUCCCUUAGUAGAACGUCGCGACCCGCUGGGUGUCGGUCUACGGGCCGGGACGCUGGACUGUGCCGACGGCAGUCAAUGCCGUCGGAGGCAGACGCCCGGUUCGGUUAUACCGAAGCCCGACCGACUGCCCGGCGGUACUCGGAAAACGGUAUCGAGCCGCAAACUUUGAACUGCGUUCGGAUCCGUGGCAAGCUCGACCAUCGAACUCGGAUGCGCGGACCCGGAGCCGUCCCGGAUUCUGGUCAGCUGUUGGCAUGCACGGUAUCCUCGAACAGGCUCCGUCGAACUAUGGCGUUUACCGGUCGGCGACGCUAUCGCUUUGGGUACUUUCAGGA
rnacentral:rRNA from 1 species